UACGGAGGGUGCAAGCGUUACUCGGAAUUACUGGGCGUAAAGCGCAUGUAGGCGGUUUGUUAAGUCUGUUGUGAAAUCCCGAAGCUUAACUUCGGAAGUGCAGUGGAUACUGGCAAACUAGAAUUCAGGAGAGGAGAGUGGAAUUCCUGGUGUAGAGGUGAAAUUCGUAGAUAUCAGGAGGAACACCAGUGGCGAAGGCGGCUCUCUGGACUGACAUUGACGCUGAGAUGCGAAAGCGUGGGUAGCAAACAGG
rnacentral:rRNA from 1 species